rnacentral:rRNA from 1 species
UACGGAGGGGGCUAGCGUUGUUCGGAAUUACUGGGCGUAAAGCGCACGUAGGCGGCUUUGCAAGUUAGAGGUGAAAGCCCGGGGCUCAACUCCGGAAUUGCCUUUAAAACUGCAUCGCUAGAAUUGUGGAGAGGUAAGUGGAAUUCCGAGUGUAGAGGUGAAAUUCGUAGAUAUCUGGAGGAACACCGGUGGCGAAGGCGGCAUCCUGGACCGGCAUUGACGCUGAGGAGCGAAAGCCAGGGGAGCAAACGGG